UACGGAGGUUCCUAGCGUUGUUCGGAAUUACUGGGCGUAAAGAGCUUGUAGGCGGUUUGUCGCGUCUGCCGUGAAAUCCGGGGCUCAACCCCGGACUUGCGGUGGGUACGGGCAGACUAGAGUGGUGGUAGGGGAGACUGGAAUUCCUGGUGUAGCGGUGAAAUGCGCAGAUAUCAGGAGGAACACCGAUGGCGAAGGCAGGUCUCUGGGCCACUACUGCGCUGAGGAGCGAAAGCGUGGGGAGCGAACAGG
rnacentral:rRNA from 1 species